CAUCUCUCUCAUCUCCUCUCUUUCAUUCUGGAUCCAGCUCUAAAGAACCCUAGUUCCUUUUCGUUGUCUUUCUAUCGGUUUCAAAUCAGAAUAUUUGAGUAUUAAUUAAGUGAGUGAUUCAUAGAAGUCUUGUAUCUUGAUUAAUUAAUCGAGGGAGUAGGGGACGAUGUUGCUAUUGAUUGAGUUUUGGGAGAAGAAAAGAAAUUAGGGUUUCGGUCUUGGGAGGAAGAAAUCAAGUGUAGAUGCAGAAUCAGUUGAGAACCCUGGUGAUUUGUUUUGGUGGUGUUUAUUGGUUGAUUUCAGUUAAAUUUUCAGCAGCUUGAGUUGCAGGAAGAUUUUUAUUGGGGAAGGUAAAUAAUUAGGCAGGACCACAAACUCGAGAGUGUUCUGUCCAUCACCAGUAUUAAACUGCACACCAGGUGUUCGAGAGAUAAACUAAGUGACCAGGUACUCCUGCAUCAGCAACGCUAGCCAUGAGUUUGGGUCAUGUAUUUCAGGGUUCAAACUUCAAGGGUUAUGGGUUCUGUGAUGUGCCGACAAGUCAGUGAAAGAGUAGGUGCUGCCAUACAUUUUGUGAUGAGUUUGAGAAGGUUUAUGACAUGAUUUUACAUCCACAUGCAUACUUGCAUAUCUACCACUGCAUCUCCAUACUCUCAAACCAUCUCGCCGUAUCACUCUGUUUACCGUCACCAGUUUUUAUCUCAUCAUAACACCUGCAUACACCCACAACCAGUCCAUCUCAUUCAUCUACAACAUCACCAACAACAGCUGCAGUCCAUCUUCUCACCAUCACCAGCACCUCCACAAUCCAUCUGAAGCUCCUUCACUAAGCAACAUAUACUAGGCAACCAUAUCAACAUCAAGUGAAUACCACCUCAAUUCAAUCCACAGUUCUUGCAUCGUUGGAAGUCUCUGCAAAUUGUUAUGAAGUAACUUGAAGAAGAUAUGGUGUAAGGUUAGGGCUAUAUAUUUCUUUGUAAUUUUUUUUUUCACUUACAUGUAAUCUGAUGUACUUUGCAGGAAAAUGUAAUAGAGCUGAAUGAAACUGAGCAACAUACAGGAGAAACCCGUAUACACAGAUGCAGUCGGCGAGUUCAAAGCUGAUGAUAGGGGAUGCCUUCAAGGAAUGGGAGGAGGGAUAUCAAAGACUGAAUUGCUUGCUUCUCUAAAUAAUUAGUAUCUUAUGUUAAAAUGAUUCACCCUAUUCGUACUUCAUAUCACCCUAAAAGACCCUAUUCGUACUUCUCUAAAUAAUUAGUAUCUUAUGUGCAUCUGUAGGAAAUUGGUCGUGCUGGACGAGAUGGUAGAUUAUCCUAUUGCCAUAUAUUUUUCGACGAUUUAGCUUAUUUCAAGUUCCGCAGUUUUUCAUACAGCGGGUGUUGAUGAAUUUGCAGUAAACAAGUUCUUGUGUCAAAUUUUCAGUGUGCGCACCUGGAAAAGUUUUCUCCUUAAUUAGUGAAAGAAUUUGCAUCUCAGAAAUAUAUAUAUGAAAGAAGAGGUGAUGCUUUGGAGAUAGGGAAAGUGCAGUAUUUGUGCUUUCUCCCACAAUUGGAUGACGUCACUUGCUCCUUGUAUUUUCACAAGGUGUGGUCCAUGAAGCCUUAUACACGUUUUUUUUUCUACGCAGAUGUGGUCACUGCAAAAGCCUUGCUAUCACAAAUAGGUUUAUGAAAAGGUUGCAUCAGCAUAUAAAUCUGGACGACGCUAUCUCCAUUUUUUUAGCAUUUAUAAUUUGAUGUCAUAUGCUAUAGUCAAUUAGAACCGCGUUGCAUGCGAAGGGAAACUUAAUUUUCUGAGCCGUGGCUUCAUCCUUAGCCUUUUAUUUCUGUUGCUAAAAACUUUCGCAACGCAGGAAGAUAGUUGCGAAAUAAAACAUUAGCAACGGCAGGGACGGUUGCUUAUUUCCGUUGCUGACCGAAAAUAGCAACAUGCUGUUGCUAAAAAUUGCGACAUUGUAUUUAGCAACGGCGAAGAUUUGUUGCGACCCUGUUUAGCAACAGCUGUGGUAGGUUGCUAAUACCUUAAAAUGGUGUAGUGUGAUCAAUGUUGGUGACUUAGAGUAUGGGGAACUCCAAGAACCCCAAGUGACAAUGAACCAGUUAUCUUGGCAGUUAUUCGGUGUACAACAAGGUCUCAAUACAUCAUUUCACACUUUGGAUAACUUGAGGAACAACUACAAUCCCCAAUAAGGAGGUUGGUUUUUUGAGAGCAGUGGGUUCAUCUCUAAUGACGAAUACUAAGAAGCAAAUCAGAAUCAAUGGAGUUCAGUGGUCAGGAUGAUGAAGACGACUCCGAGUGCUGCAUCUGUUACGCCUCCAAGGCAGAUGCUCAGUGCAAGACAUGUUCACGUAGAUCCUUGUACGGAGUUAGAAAUGUAAACGAAAAACGAUUGGAUCAGUGUUUGUAGUGUUUUUCACAUUUGGUUCUAGCAAAUUUAACAAAUUUAACUUGUGGAAGAGUAAAUAUAGUAUAAGAUGGGGAAGAUUCCAUGGGAGGUCAUUGUGAACUGGAGGAAUGUGUUUUUCCAACCUCCUUAGUGUAGUUCUCUUUUGAGGGUCUUUUUUCUUUUAGUUUUUGUUGUCUUUUUCGGUGGUUGGCUGCUCUUUUGCAUGCUCUCCUUUUGCUAAUAAAAUCUUUACUUUACUGAG